UUAAAGCAUCUAUCUCUUUUGUUUCUCAGCUAUUCUGUAAAUCAACGAGCUACAAAUUUUGUUCUUUGUUCGGUCACUAUGUGAAUCAACGAACUUAGGACUUGUUACGGUUAGGCUGCGCCAACAACUCCACCAUCUACAUAUACAUUUUUGCAGCCAUUUUGUUAAAUGAAUUCUGGAGUUGGAACUUAUUUACAAUGGCUGUCACUAGCUUAUUCAAUGCAAAAAGUUAACUACCAAAUCAAAGCAAAUCUUAUUCAAAGGAAUAUGCUUUUAUUCCACGGCCUAAUUAUUUUUGCCAAAAUGGUUA
rnacentral:sRNA from 1 species